AGUGAACGCUGGCGGUAGGCCUAACACAUGCAAGUCGAACGGCAGCACAGUAAGAGCUUGCUCUUACGGGUGGCGAGUGGCGGACGGGUGAGGAAUACAUCGGAAUCUACUUUUUCGUGGGGGAUAGCGUAGGGAAACUUACGCUAAUACCGCAUACGACCUACGGGUGAAAGCAGGGGAUCUUCGGACCUUGCGCGAUUGAAUGAGCCGAUGUCGGAUUAGCUAGUUGGCGGGGUAAAGGCCCACCAAGGCGACGAUCCGUAGCUGGUCUGAGAGGAUGAUCAGCCACACUGGAACUGAGACAGGGUCCAGACUCCGACGGGAGGCAGCAGUGGGGAAUAUUGGACAAUGGGCGCAAGCCUGAUCCAGCCAUACCGCGUGGGUGAAGAAGGCCUUCGGGUUGUAAAGCCCUUUUGUUGGGAAAGAAAAGCAGCAGGUUAAUACCCCGCUGUUCUGACGGUACCCAAAGAAUAAGCACCGGCUAACUUCGUG
rnacentral:rRNA from 1 species